UUUUGACCGUGCAAAGGUAGCGCAAUCACUUGUCUUUUAAAUGAAGACCUGUAUGAAUGGCUAAACGAGGGCUUAGCUGUCUCCCUUUCCAAGUCAGUGAAAUUGAUCUGCCCGUGCAGAAGCGGACAUAAAGAUACAAGACGAGAAGACCCUUUGGAGCUUAAGGUUCAAGCCCAGCCGCAUUAAACAACUUUCUCAAUAAGAAUUAAACCUUGGCGGACAAUGGAGCUUUACCUUUGGUUGGGGCGACCACGGAGAAAAAUUAAUCCUCCGAGUGGAUUGGGAAAAUAAACCUAAAACCAAGAAAGACAUUUCUAAGAUACAGAAAAUCUGACCAAUAAUGAUCCGGCCCAUGGGCCGAUCAACGGACCAAGUUACCCUAGGGAUAACAGCGCAAUCCUCUCCCAGAGUCCAUAUCGACCAGGGG
rnacentral:rRNA from 1 species